rnacentral:tRNA from 1 species
GGUCUUGUAUUCAGUUAUGAAGUUGAAUUGCAAAUUCAAUGGUGCAUUUAUAAGCUAAGGCCU